rnacentral:lncRNA from 1 species
UUUUUUUUUUUUUAAAUCAUAUUUAUUAAAGUUUCCAAAAAUAUAAAAAUACAAAGAAAAAAAAGAAAAAGAAAAAAAGAUAUUUAAAAGCCUUACUUUCAUUGCCUACUUUCUGGGACUCCCCCCCUCCCCCCCCCCGACUGUAUUCCCCUUUCCUUAAUUUAGUUCUACAAGCUCUCACUCCCAAUUUGAAGCUUAAUUUGUUUAACCCACUAUCCAAAUUGAAUUAUACAAAUCUUACCACCGUCCCACAUCAUUAACAAGAAAAGAAAAAAGAUUUUCCCCAAGAUCCACCCCAGUUCCUUCCACGAAUUCCCUAUUUUUAAACACGUCCAAUC